AUUGAACGCUGGCGGCAGGCCUAACACAUGCAAGUCGAGCGAGCGGCGGACGGGUGAGUAAUGUAUGGGGACUGCCCGAUAGAGGGGGAUAACUACUGGAAACGGUAGCUAAUACCGCAUACUAUCGGAUAACCCAUAUGGGAUUAGCUAGUAGGUGAGGUAAUGGCUCACCUAGGCGACGAUCCCUAGCUGGUCUGAGAGGAUGAUCAGCCACAGUGGGACUGAGACCGGGGCCAGACUCCUACGGAGGCAGUAGUGGGGAAGAUUGCACCAGGGGCGCAAUCCUGAUGCAGCCAAGCCGCGUGUAGGAGGAAGGCCUUAGGGUUGUAAAGUACUUUCAGUCGGGAGGCGUUACCGACAGAAGAAGCACCGGCUAACUCCGUGCCAGCAGCCGCGGUAAUAC
rnacentral:rRNA from 1 species